GACGAACGCUGGCGGCGUGCUUAACACAUGCCAGUCGAACGGAAAGGCCCUGCUUUUGUGGGGUGCUCGAGUGGCGAACGGGUGAGUAACACGUGAGUAACCUGCCCUUGACUUUGGGAUAACUUCAGGAAACUGGGGCUAAUACCGGAUAGGAGCUCCUGCUGCAUGGUGGGGGUUGGAAAGUUUCGGCGGUUGGGGAUGGACUCGCGGCUUAUCAGCUUGUUGGUGGGGUAGUGGCUUACCAAGGCUUUGACGGGUAGCCGGCCUGAGAGGGUGACCGGCCCCAUUGGGAACUGGAGACGGCCCAGACUCCUACGGGAGGGAGCAGGGGGGAAAUAUUACCAAUGGGGGGAAGCCCUAUGCCGGAACGCCCGGGGGGGGAUGGAGGGCCUUGGGUUUUAAAACCGUUUCCCCUGUGAACAAGGGGGGGGUGAGGGUAAUGGUAAAAAAAGCCCCGCCAAACUACUG
rnacentral:rRNA from 1 species